CUAAAGACGAUGAAGAGAAAAAGUAGGGUUUAGCUAUUUUUCACAGAGAGCUUCGGUAGCUGAAAAGAAGCAAAAAUACUGAUCUGAACAAUGGCCUCUGAGUUUCGUGCUGAAAGUAUUUAAAGAUACGAGUAGGUUCCGGCGAGAUUUGGUACUCGUUAUCCAUACCACAGUAUUUAGGGAGAAUUGAUAUACCCGUGUACUUGUUAAGGCUGUUGUGCGUGAGCAAACAGUAAAGUAAGGUGGUACCACGUGAAUAAACCACGUCCUUAUC
rnacentral:ncRNA from 1 species